GUCUGAGUUCGUUGAUGGCAACAGAAAGAAGGAAAGGGAUGAUAUGUGGGCUCCACAUGUCAUUGGCUGUUAAACUGAAUCUGGGAGCCAUGUUUUAGCUAGUGAUGCUGAUGUUGGAAGCAAAAUUUAGGUACUAUAAAAAUAGGUGGGUACCUAAAUAGAUAUUUAGGUAGUCUAUUUUAGGUAGUUCCGCUAGAAAUGCUCCGAAGACCAUAACAGGUAGGAGCUGGGAAAUUGCUUCUCCAAUCUUUUUAUGACACACCAAUCGCUCCUCGCAAAGAAAAACAGAGAGAUCCAAAGCAGAGCAACAAUGGAUGAGCUGAACGAUUUUCAAAAAAAAUAUGGAUAAGCUGAACUCAUUUGGGCUGUACUCAUAUGUGAACACUUUAUUUGUGAGAUGUAAAAAAUAUGGAUAAUUUGCUAUGGGC
rnacentral:lncRNA from 1 species